rnacentral:rRNA from 1 species
AUUGAACACUGGCGGCAUGCCUUACACAUGCAAGUCGAACGGUAACAGGUCUUCGGAUGCUGACGAGUGGCGAACGGGUGAGUAAUACAUCGGAACGUGCCCGAUCGUGGGGGAUAACGAAGCGAAAGCUUUGCUAAUACCGCAUACGAUCUACGGAUGAAAGCAGGGGACCGCAAGGCCUUGCGCGAACGGAGCGGCCGAUGGCAGAUUAGGUAGUUGGUGGGAUAAAAGCUUACCAAGCCGACGAUCUGUAGCUGGUCUGAGAGGACGACCAGCCACACUGGAACUGAGACACGGCCCAGACUCCUACGGGAGGCAGCAGUGGGGAAUUUUGGACAAUGGGCGAAAGCCUGAUCCAGCCAUGCCGCGUGCAGGAUGAAGGCCUUCGGGUUGUAAACUGCUUUUGUACGGAACGAAAAGACUCUGGUUAAUACCUGGGGUCCAUGACGGUACCGUAAGAAUAAGCACCGGCUAACUACGUG